rnacentral:rRNA from 1 species
AACGAACGCUGGCGGCAGGCCUAACACAUGCAAGUCGAACGUGAAGCCACCUUCGGGUGGUGGAAAGUGGCGAACGGGUGAGUAACGCGUGGGAACCUACCCAGCAGUUGGGGAUAACCGCGGGAAACUGCGGCUAAUACCGAAUACGUCCUAAGGGAGAAAGAUUUAUCGCUGUUGGAGGGGCCCGCGUCGGAUUAGCUAGUUGGUGAGGUAACGGCUCACCAAGGCGACGAUCCGUAGCUGGUCUGAGAGGAUGAUCAGCCACACUGGGACUUAGACACGGCCCAGACUCCUACGGGAGGCAGCAGUGGGGAAUAUUGGACAAUGGGGGCAACCCUGAUCCAGCAAUGCCGCGUGAGUGAUGAAGGCCUUAGGGUUGUAAAGCUCUUUUACCGGGGACGAUGAUGACGGUACCCGGAGAAUAAGCCCCGGCUAACUUCGUGCCAGCCGCCGCGGUAAGAC